CACCACCCACGUCGGCCUAUUCCGGUGAGCUCCGACAAUGGGAAGCACUCCCCCGAGCUCCCCGAGCUCCACCCCUCCUUCCCCUUCGUCCAGAAUCCGCGCUCCCACCCUCCAUUGUUCCCCGUGGCUAGCUAGGGUUUCAGCCGCCGCCUCAUCUCCGGCGACGGCGAGUCCAGCAGCCUGCGGAUCCGGCACGAGGCUAUCCCAGAUGGGACGGCGACGGUAGCAGGAGGGCGCGGGCCAUGUCCUGCUCGAGGAGGCGGAUAGUAGGGGCGCGCCCAACAGGCAGCCAUGUCCUGCUCGAGGAGGCGGAUAGUAGGGGGCACCCAGCCGGCAGCCCUGUCCUUCUCGAGGAGGCGGAUAGUAGGGGCGUGCCCAGCCGGAUCCAUCUUCGGUCGGCGGCCAUGGAUCCAUCUUCGGUCAGCGGCCACGGAUCCAUCUUCGGUCAGCGGCCACGGAUCCAUCUUCGGUCGGCGGCGAGCUGUGGUGACGUACAUGUGGUGCUGAUGAAUCAAGUGUACAAGGGCGCCGAUGGCAUGGAGCUGGCCACCAGCUUCUGCAUGCCGCGUUGUAUCAUCAGUAACAGCUAAUGGGACCGGGUCUUUUUGAACCCAUUCAUGGCUCUGCUCCUGACAUUGCUGGCCAGAUUGACAUAGCUCCUAAAUUCAGAACAAUCAUUUAGAUAAUACUCCCUCCGUCCAAAAAUGAGUUGACGGAGGGAGUACUACGUUGCCUUUUGUUGUCUAAAUCCGUCUAAAAUUCGUCUCCUUUCUUCAAUUUGCUGAGCACAGGACAAGGCAAACCCAUUAGCUACAAUUCUUAGUGCGGCGAUGCUACUGAAAUAUGGCCUUGGUGUAGAAAGUGCUGCAAAGAGAAUUGAAGCCGCGGUUACGAAGACACUGGACAAUGGGUUCCCAACUUGGGAGAUAUAUUCUCCUGGAACGGCGGCAAUGGCAAGAGGAUAUUGUGCAGAGGAAGAGGAUGAGAAGAAACUUAUGGUUCUCAUCCAAUCUUGGUGGAACUCUCUUUAUGUGCGAUUGUGCAUUUGUUGGGUCCUUUAUCUGUGCACUUGCACUUGCAGAAGUAUUCUCUUAUGUACAUGUAAAAUUAUUUUGAUGUGCCCUUGUUAGGCGUUGAACCUUAA